GGGGCUAGUAUGUAGCCUUUAACUCUAUUCAUACUUGUACUAUUCAUAAGUGGGGCUAGUUGACAUUCACGUUACCGAAAUAUUAAUACUCACUUCUUACUGCUAUAUUAAAAAAAAGGAAUAAUAUAAGAAGUUUCUAUAAGGUUUUCAAUGGGAUAGCAUCUUUUUCCAUAAGUGGGACGAGUUGGCAGGAGUAAUAUUCACGGAAUUUAACUUAUAUAUACAACGGGAUAACAUCUUUUUUCAUAAGUGGGGCGAGUUGGCAGGAGUAAUAUUUACGGAAUUUAACUUAUAUACAACGGGAUAACAUCUUUUUCCAUAAGUGGGGCGAGUUGGCAGGAGUAAUAUUUACGGAAUUUAACUUAUAUACAACGGGAUAACAUCUUUUUCCAUAAGUGGGGCGAGUUGGCAUUACUACAUUCAUCCUGGUUAAUAAUAUAAUAUAAAUCUAGAUAUUAUCGUUUUCUUUCAAGUGGGGCGAGUUGGCAGGAGUAAUAUUCACGGAAUAACAUCUUUUUCCAUAAGUGGGGCGAGUUGGC
rnacentral:lncRNA from 1 species